rnacentral:misc_RNA from 1 species
GAUGAAGAACGCAGCGAAAUGCGAUAAGUAAUGUGAAUUGCAGAAUUCAGUGAAUCAUCGAAUCUUUGAACGCACAUUGAGCCCCCUGGUAUUCCGGGGGGCAUGCCUGUCCGAGCGUCAUUACAACCCUCAAGCUCAGCUUGGUGUUGGGCCCCGCCGCCCCGGCGGGCCCUAAAGUCAGUGGCGGUGCCGUCCGGCUCCGAGCGUAGUAAUUCUUCUCGCUCUGGAGGUCCGGUCGUGUGCUCGCCAGCAACCCCCAAUUUUUUUCAGGUUGACCUCGGAUCAGGUAGGGAUACCCGCUGAACUUAAGCAUAUCAAUAAGCGGAGGA